rnacentral:tRNA from 1 species
GGGGGUAUAGUUCAGUGGUAGAGCAUUUGACUGCAGAGGUGGGAAUGAGAUGAAAGAGAAAACAGUGGGGCCAGGUGGUGACCUGGUUGAGCACACAUAUUACCAUGAUCAAGAAAGGACCAGGGUUCAAGCCCCUGCUCCCA